rnacentral:lncRNA from 1 species
CAUUCCCCACCGCCUUAAAGACAUUCUCUAUCGAAAUCUGAGCCAGAAGGAGACCGACCAAGACAUUAGGAUCGUCAUUGUCGGAGAUUUUAAAUUAUCUUAGAGAUUUUCUAAUGCUUACUCUAAUCCUGGACAUGAAGAAUAAGAAAAUCUUUUUUCUUUUCCUUACUUGUGUUAGAUUUUGAAAUAUUUUUCAUUUUUCUAUCUAUUUUUUCAAAAAGUACUAGUUAAAAAUGAAAUAAAUAGGGAAUAAU